rnacentral:lncRNA from 1 species
CCCUCAUUAACAUUAUAAGAAUCCUAAAGAAAGAGACAGAGAGAGAGGCGGGAGAGAGAGAGCGGGGGGGAGAAAAAAGAGAGAGAGAGAGAGAGAGAGGGGGGUGAGAGAGAGGGUGGAGAAAAAGAGAGCGAGAGACAGAGGGGUAAGAGAGAAGGGGGGAGAAAAAGAGAGAGAGAGAGACAGAGGGAUAGAUGCCUUAAAGCUAGAUAGAUAGAUAGAUAGAUAGAUAGAUAGAUAGAUAGAUAGAUAGAUAGAUAGAUAGAUAGAUAGAUAGAUAGAUAGAUAGAUAGAUAGAUAGAUAGAUAGAUAGAUAGAUGCCAGAGGUGUUAUUCAUUAUAGUGACUACAGCAGUCUGCCAGAGAUGUUAUUCAUUAUAGUGACUACAGCAGUCUGCCAAGGAUGUUAUUCAUUCUAGUGACUACAGCAGUCUGCCAGAGAUGUUAUUCAUUCUAGUGACUACAGCAGUCUGCCGAGGAUGUUAUUCAUUCUAGUGACUACAGCAGUCUGCCAGAUAUGUUAUUCAUUCUAGUGACUACAGCAGUCUGCUGAGGAUGUUAUUCAUUCUAGUGACUACAGCAGUCUGCCUGUAAAGAGUUCUGUAGUUGUUCAUCAUGG